UUGCAUGUGGACAUGUCGUUUCCUCAUUCCUCUCGGAGCAGUAGUAUACCCAUAACAUGCUACAUUGAAAGUUAUCAGGCUGCCAUUCUAAUAGCAGAGGUUGAGUAGUAGUGUAUUUCUCCUAUGUAA